AUCGAUCAGAUACCAGCUCAGUUAAAAUUCUGUCUGUAUUCGCUCAUGGGUACUGCUUUAUCCACUGGGCGUUGGGCUUGCUUUCUAAUACCUGGAUUAAGAGAACACAAUGGGACAAGUUAUUAGCAAGCCACUUUGAUGAGCUAAGCCGGGAGGAAAGAAAGAAGUCUGGUCACCACAUGUGGGUCACUACGACGCUUCCGGCCACAGUCCUGCAAUCCGCCCUCCGAGAUGGCAGCUGCUGAUGUCUCUGUGUCCUGGGUUACAUACAUUCAGGAGCUACUUGCCAAGAGCUGGGCUGGAGUAAAAUUAUAGUGUCCUUUUACAGAUGAGGGUUUUGGAUGGAAAUACUGACAUAGCUUUUAACUGACACACAUUUUCCAAGUCUAAGCCAUACAAUAGUGCUUAACUCAGCACUAUUAAAAGCAAAUUCACACAAAGGACAUCUGACAUUAAUUAUACUGCAGGUUUAAAAUAUACACAUGUGGAGUAAGAAAUGUGUCUUUCCGUUCUUAUGCGCAUUAUUAAAAGUGAUGCUGUUUAAAGUGCUUUUAAGAAACUGGCUUCAACUCCUUGUUGUAACUUUAGACACAAUUCCAUAUGAAGCAUGAAGGUGGCAAAGACAAUGGUUUCCCGGGCAAGAAAAACAGAUGCACAUUGCCAACACGUUCUUAUAGCCAGUUAAAGAGCAAGGAAGGAAGAGAGAUGUUGUGAGUCCUUCAUGCAUAUUGAGAAAAUGAACUCCUUUUCGCUGUGUUCUGUAGCAAGGAUCCGCACCGACCUUCUGUGACCACCAGCAGCGGUUAAACCUACAGCUGGAAACACUUGAUAAGCAAUUUGCCCCACCCAGCUAUUCGCUUUUUCCCAGUGACUUUCCAUGUUGAUAAGGUAGGCUCAAAAAUGAGACCAAGUGUUUAAAAAAGAAGGGUGGGGAGCAAGAAGACAUCAGGUUGUUUGCUUCGAUUUUCUCUGGAUGUCUGCGGGCUCCUGACGCCAGCGUCUCAGCCUACCUGUGUGUGUGCGGUGCAAGCAAAACGCCUGUGGUAGCCAUAGUCACAGGAUGUGUCCUCCAGACAGAAGCUUGCUUUGUGGCCUUCAGCCACCCUCCUCUGUGUGUUGGCGUCAAGCAGGUCAUAGUGGCUGAAUUCAUCCAUGCUGUGGUAAUGUCUAAUGUUGCACACAAGAAAGACACAGCAAUCAGCGGUGCAGAGAAAUCAAGGAUGGUGAGUGACUUCCUUCCCUCGUAAAUUAAAUGGGGGUGCGCUCACAACUCAAACAGACCAACUUUAUCUUCUUGGUUUUUAAUUUUUUUAGAUUUAUUUAUUUUAUGCGUGUGAAUGUUUUAUCUACAAGUUGUAUGUGUUCUAUGCAUGUGCUUGGGACCAAAGGAAGUCAGAAGAGGGCUUUGAAUCCCUUAGAAAUGGAGAUAUGAACAGUUAUGAGGCGCCCAGUGGGUACUGGGAAUCGAACCCAGGUCCUCUGCAAGACUAUCAAGUGCUCCUAACACUGAGCCAUCUCUCCAGACCAUUUUUUUUUCUCUUGAAACAGUGUUUCCCUGUGUAGAUCUGGCUGUCCCAGAACUUACCUAUAGCCAUACUGGCUUGGAACUCAGAAAUCUGCCUGCCUUUGCCACCCAAGUGCUAGAACUAAAGGCAUGUGCCAUAAUGCUUAGCUCCCAAGUUUAUCUUGAAGAGAUAGUCAUGCUAGAUAUUUUUUUUAAGGACACUGCAAGUUUUCAACUUUACUACUUGUUAAAGAUAGGGUGUCCUUCAUACAGGGUUUUAUCUUUGAACAUCAAGCAUAGACAAUCCAUUAUCUGUGCUUGCAACCUGUGGAGUUUCUGGUGUGUUUCUCUGGCUUCCACUACUGAUGUUGGUGAUGUGAUGAUGAUUUCAAACAAGAACUUUUCUAUGGAGGGCUUGCUAUGAGAUUCUAAAAACUAGGGUUGCAGCAUUCUUUAAACCUCUUUGGAUCUGCAAGGGGAAAACAACAGCAUGUUUUCCUAACACUAUUGUUUAAA